GGUGAACGCUGGCGGCGUGCUUAAGACAUGCAAGUCGAACGGCAGUCUUCGGACUGUAGUGGCGCACGGGUGAGUAACGCGUAACUGACCUACCCCAAAGUCGCGGAUAACGAUUCGAAAGAAUCGCUAAUACGUGAUGUGCUGUCAGAUUGUGUUCUGCCAGUAAAGAUUGAUUGCUUUGGGAUGGGGUUGCGUUCCAUCAGCUAGUUGGUGGGGUAAAGGCCCACCAAGGCGACGACGGAUAGCCGGCCUGAGAGGGUGGCCGGCCACAGGGGGACUGAGACACGGGUCCCACUCCUACGGGAGGCAGCGGUUAGGAAUCUUCCACAAUGGGCGAAAGCCGGAUGGAGCGACGCCGCGGGAGGGAUGAAGGUCUUCGGAUCGUAAACCUCUGAAUCAGGGACGAAAGACACUUCGGUGGGAUGACGGUACCUGAGUAAUAGCACCGGCUAACUCCGUGCCAGCCGCCGCCGUAACAC
rnacentral:rRNA from 1 species